UACGUAGGGGGCUAGCGUUGUCCGGAAUCAUUGGGCGUAAAGCGCGUGUAGGCGGCCCGGUAAGUCCGCUGUGAAAGUCGGGGGCUCAACCCUCGAAAGCCGGUGGAUACUGUCGGGCUCGAGUACGGGAGAGGCGAGUGGAAUUCCUGGUGUAGCGGUGAAAUGCGCAGAUAUCAGGAGGAACACCGGUGGCGAAGGCGGUUCUCUGGGCCUUACCUGACGCUGAGGAGCGAAAGCGUGGGGAGCGAACAGG
rnacentral:rRNA from 1 species